CGGGAGAGGGCGGGAAGCCGGAGCGAAGAAAGCAUCUGAAGGCAGCCCCAACCCUUUGGGGACGCUGGAAAGCCUUACUUUCUCAUGACAGGAUUCCAGAGUGGUACCAGAUCUCUUUAAUCUUCAGCAUCAGGGGUCUCUUCUGUUUCCUCAGAACAUACCUUCUUCCUCAGAAUGGAUGAAGUCCCAGCUCCAUUGAGUGUUGUGCAAGUUCUGCCACCUCUGGCCUCAGCUGGAUGCAAACACACAAUCAACCUAUUCUGGCCCCUGCUGAAUCUGCAGAGUCAGGAGGAUGAGCUCUAGUCCCAUGUUCUGAACGGGGCCCUGAUGAUCUCUCGCCAUUUCCUCUAUCCCGUGGUAUGCCCUGGAACUGGACUCUAGCUCCUGGCCUUCAGUCACAUGGGUCCUGCUGUCCACUGCCAGUUUGUCCCACAGUCCUGUCCUGUGCCCGCCCUAUUCCCCCUACCAGUGUACUCUGCCCUUUGUAAUUUCUUGCCACGCUUGCAUGCUAGCUUCCCACCUGGAAGGCAGGUGCUCUAGCGGAAAGGGCAAGGCCAUCGACAUCAAAAGACCUGGAUUGAAGCCUUAGUUCUGCAAUUACGUGUGCGACCUUGGACCAACCAGUCACUUAACCUGAAUUACGAUCUCCUCAUCUGUAGCCUAUGAAAUGAAAUUCCUGCUUGAAAAUUGACCUCUGGGCUCAGAGAAUUUUCCAGUGAAUUUGGUAUACGUCAGUUAUCUGGGGCCUGAUCAAUCUUUGCGAAAAUCAGAUUUCUGAACUUGAGGAAUCAAGGCUCUACAUAAAAGAAGCUGGGGAAGAGAAACCAGAACAGCCAGCUUGCUUUCCCAUCUUCGCGUUGGGAGAACGUUUGGCCAGCUCCUGAAGCCGAGCUAUCCACAUAUCUCAAAAUGACUUCAAGCCUAGAAAGUCCUCGAGUUAGAUGGCUUCUCACAGGCAAGUGCGGUUAGAACCUUUUCCCCAUCUCAUCUCAUUGAGUUUUGGGCAAACUACUCUGAGAAAUUUGUCAGGAAUGGAGAAGAAUCCGAAACUUUCAAAUCUCUGCCUUUCAGUAAUACUUAGGUUGCUUUUCAGUACCAUCUAAAAUAAGGAUAAAGAGUUAUUUUCAUCACUUUAUACUGAUGUGAGUUCAGAAUGAGUUGGAAACAUGUAUGUUAAAAGCAUCCAUAUUAAUGACCUAAAAUAUAAAACAGAAAUUGGCAAGGCCAACCAGAUAAUACUUUUGCUCUUCCUGGAAUGGAAGGUGGCAGUGGAGAAAAGUAGUUUCAGUAAACAUGUCUUGCCUGCGCAGAAAUCCCCAGGGUAGGACGCGGAUCUGAUUAAAUGAGUCAGGCUUACAUUUAUUACGGUAUAUUACGAACAUUUUUCAGCAUUCAGAAGCAACUGGUGUCUCCGUGGAUUUGGCCAGUUCCUGGCAAUUAUGCACUUGGCUGCUAGUAGAAGCCAGCAUGCCAAAUGCCUGGAAUGACGAUCCACGUCUGAGUGGCUUUCAGUCUGGGAAGGAUGUUGUUCAAACACUGCAUUCCUUCCCAAGGUGGCCAAAUCCUGGUUACAGCUCUGUCCUUGAAAUCUAUUUAUCCAGAAACUUGACCGGAAAGGAUAUGGCUACAUCCCUUGCCCCAUUCAGCUUCCGCAGCACACACCUGGCAGACCUUGUGUGGGUUUUACAGGGUCUGUCUGUUGUAUGCCUAGCGCCUUAAUCAGAAAAUCACAUUUGGAACAUAAUGUUUCAGAUGGAUUAUUAGAAAACACUAAUUCUUUUAGAGACUGUGAAAUCUGGAGGCCUGGCCCAAUUCCAAACUAAGUAAUGGCAUUCUUUUUUGAAAUGUCCUUCCAGUUUUAUUCGAACGAGUGGGAACCAACCUGUCCUCCAUGAUUCCUGACCCGCAGUUGUUCUUUGUGCUUCCCCUCCUUUAUUAGGAGGAGAGGCUGUUGCGUGGCGUGGUCUGUACAGCAGUGGAAGCUGGUGCAAACAAACAAACAAACAAACACACUGUUCAGGAAUGUGAGCAAGGACUGUCUUGGCAUAAAUGGCAAGGACUAGAGGACUAGAAUAUGCAUUCUACGAGGCAAGAAUUUUUGUCUUUUUGGUUAAUCAUUGCUAAUGAUAUCUAGACCCACAUCUGGUUCAUGGUACCACUUAGUAAAUAUUUGUUGGAUGAAUAAUGAAUGAAUAUAUAAUUGAUUAUAAGUCCAGCCUCUUCUUAAUUGCACAGUAACUAUCAUAAUGUCCAUUUCUCGUCCAUUUCUUAUUUUCUUUUAUUCUUCUUUUAUAUUCAAUUUAGACAGAAGACAGUUACAGGCAUCUCUCUACUAAAUGGGGCAAACGGAAGGUCAGUAUAGCACCUCGAAAGGGGUCUUGUGUACACGUUCCAGGCUUUUUCACUUAUUUCUGCUUCUCUCCCUCCCCUAGCCUUUCCCACUCUGUUCAAAAAGAGGCCCUCUGCCCCCGGUUCAGCCUGUGGCCUGGCCUGUCUCCAAGGGACAUUUGUCUGUACGUGUAGCAUGACGUGGCCAUGAUGAUGCUUACCUCUUUUGCUCCAGUUCAAACAAGGCAUCCCUUCCACGCAAGACAGACCCCUUUCCUCUGUGGAAUUUUGCAACAUUACUGACUUCCUCUCCUCUGUC